rnacentral:rRNA from 1 species
GAACGACGCUGGCGGCAUGCCUAACACAUGCAAGUCGAACGAACCUUCGGGGUUAGUGGCGCACGGGUGCGUAACGCGUGGGAAUCUGCCCAAAGGUUCGGAAUAACACAGAGAAAUUUGUGCUAAUACCGGAUAAUGUCUUCGGACCAAAGAUUUAUUGCCUUUGGAUGAGCCCGCGUUGGAUUAGCUUGUUGGUGAGGUAACGGCUCACCAAGGCGACGAUCUAUAGCUGGUCUGAGAGGAUGAUCAGCCACACUGGGACUGAGACACGGCCCAGACUCCUACGGGAGGCAGCAGUGGGGAAUAUUGGACAAUGGGCGAAAGCCUGAUCCAGCAAUGCCGCGUGAGUGAUGAAGGCCUUAGGGUUGUAAAGCUCUUUUACCAGGGAUGAUAAUGACAGUACCUGGAGAAUAAGCUCCGGCUAACUCCGUG